CUACGUGCCAGCAGCCGCGGUAAUACGUAGGUGGCAAGCGUUGUCCGGAAUUAUUGGGCGUAAAGCGCGCGCAGGCGGAUUGGUCAGUCUGUCUUAAAAGUUCGGGGCUUAACCCCGUGAUGGGAUGGAAACUGCCAAUCCAGAGUAUCGGAGAGGAAAGUGGAAUUCCUAGUGUAGCGGUGAAAUGCGUAGAUAUUAGGAAGAACACCAGUGGCGAAGGCGACUUUCUGGACGAAAACUGACGCUGAGGCGCGAAAGCCAGGGGAGCGAACGGGAUUAGAUACCCCGGUAGUCCUGGCCGUAAACGAUGGGUACUAGGUGUAGGAGGUAUCGACCCCUUCUGUGCCGGAGUUAACGCAAUAAGUACCCCGCCUGGGGAGUACGACCGCAAGGUUGAAACUCAAAGGAAUUGACGGGGGCCCGCACAAGCGGCGGAGCAUGCGGAUUAAUUCGAUGCAACGCGAAGAACCUUACCAAGGCUUGACAU
rnacentral:rRNA from 1 species